rnacentral:rRNA from 1 species
AACUCAAAGGAAUUGACGGGGGCCCCGCACAAGCAACGGAGCAUGCGGCUUAAUUCGAUGCAACGCGAAGAACCUUACCUAGGCUUGACAUGCAUUGAAAACUGUUAGAGGUAACAGGUCCGCAAGGGCUUUGCACAGGUGGUGCAUGGCUGUCGUCAGCUCGUGUCGUGAGAUGUUGGGUUAAGUCCCGCAACGAGCGCAACCCUCGUCUUGUGUUGCCAACAGGUAAUGCUGGGAACUCACAAGAGACUGCCGGGGUCAACUCGGAGGAAGGUGGGGACGACGUCAAGUCAUCAUGCCCCUUAUGUCUAGGGCUGCACGCAUGCUACAAUGGCCGAUACAAAGGGCUGCGAUACCGCAAGGUGGAGCGAAUCCCAUAAAGUCGGUCUCAGUUCGGAUUGAGGUCUGCAACUCGACCUCAUGAAGUUGGAGUUGCUAGUAAUCGCGGAUCAGCAACGCCGCGGUGAAUACGUUCCCGGGCCUUGUACACACCGCCCGUCACGUCACGAAAGUCGGUAACACCCAAA